rnacentral:rRNA from 1 species
AUUGAACGCUGGCGGCAGGCCUAACACAUGCAAGUCGAGCGAGCGGCGGACGGGUGAGUAAUGUCUGGGUAACUGCCUGAUGGGGGGGGAUAACUACUGGAAACGGUAGCUAAUACCGCAUACCCUCAGAUUGGCCCAGAUGGGGUUAGCUAGUAGGUGGGGUAAAGGCUCACCUAGGCGACGAUCCCUAUAGGGUCUGAGAGGAUGAACAGCCACACUGGAACUGAGACACGGUCCAGACUCCGACGGUAGUCAGCAGUGGGGAAUAUUGGACAAUGGGCGCAAGCCUGAUGCAGCCAUGCCGCGUGUGUGAAGAAGGCCUUCGGGUUGUAAAGCACUUUCAGCGGGGAGUCGUUACCCGCAGAAGAAGCACCGGCUAACUCCGUGCCAGCAGCCGCGGUAAUUC